rnacentral:rRNA from 1 species
GGAUCCAGACUUUGAUUCUGGCUCAGAACGAACGCUGGCGGCAGGCCUAACACAUGCAAGUCGAGCGCGCCCUUCGGGGUGAGCGGCGGACGGGUUAGUAACGCGUGGGAACGUGCCCUUUGGUACGGAAUAGCCUCUGGAAACGGAGAGUAAUACCGUAUGAGCCCUUCGGGGGAAAGAUUUAUCGCCAAAGGAUCGGCCCGCGUUAGAUUAGGUAGUUGGUGGGGUAAUGGCCUACCAAGCCUACGAUCUAUAGCUGGUUUUAGAGGAUGAUCAGCAACACUGGGACUGAGACACGGCCCAGACUCCUACGGGAGGCAGCAGUGGGGAAUCUUGGACAAUGGGGGCAACCCUGAUCCAGCCAUGCCGCGUGAGUGAUGAAGGCCUUAGGGUCGUAAAGCUCUUUCGCCUGUGAAGAUAAUGACGGUAGCAGGUAAAGAAACCCCGGCUAACUCCGUGCCAGCAGCCGCGG